rnacentral:rRNA from 1 species
UACAGAGGUGGCAAGCGUUUGUUCGGAAUUACUGGGCGUAAAGGGCGCGUAGGCGGCCUUCUAAGUCAGACGUGAAAUCCCCCGGCUUAACCUGGGAACUGCGUCUGAUACUGGGAGGCUUGAGUAUGGGAGAGGGAUGUAGAAUUCCAGGUGUAGCGGUGAAAUGCGUAGAUAUGACAUAGAACACCAAUUGCGAAGGCAGCUGGCUACACAAUUAUUGACACUGAGGCUCGAAAGCGUGGGGAUCAAACAGG